GACGAACGCUGGCGGCGUGCUUAACACAUGCAAGUCGAACGGAAAGGCCCUGCUUUUGUGGGGUGCUCGAGUGGCGAACGGGUGAGUAACACGUGAGUAACCUGCCCUUGACUUUGGGAUAACUUCAGGAAACUGGGGCUAAUACCGGAUAGGAGCUCCUGCUGCAUGGUGGGGGUUGGAAAGUUUCGGCGGUUGGGGAUGGACUCGCGGCUUAUCAGCUUGUUGGUGGGGUAGUGGCUUACCAAGGCUUUGACGGGUAGCCGGCCUGAGAGGGUGACCGGCAACAUUGGGACAGAGAUACGGCCCAGACUCCUACGGGAGGCAGGAGUGGGGAAUAUUGCAGAAUGGGAGGAAGCCUGAUGCAGCAACGCCGCGUGCGGGAUGAGGGCCUUCGGGUUGUAAACCGUUUUCGCCUGUGACGAAGCGUGAGUGACGGUAAUGGGUAAAGAAGCACCGGAUAACUACGUG
rnacentral:rRNA from 1 species